rnacentral:rRNA from 1 species
GUUACAACUCUGAGCGGUGGAUCACUCGGCUCGUGUGUCGAUGAAGAGCGCAGCCAACUGUGUGAAUUAAUGUGAACUGCAUACUGCUUUGAACAUCGACAUCUUGAACGCACAUUGCGGCCAUGGGUUAGCCCAUGGCCACGCCUGUCCGAGGGUCGGCUU